GAUGCAAAGAAACAAUGGCAGAGAUUAGAAGAUAACCCGGCUAGCAAAGCACAGUCUUUUUCUCCCGAUACCUUCGUCUUCCUUCUAAUAUGCACCUGUUAUAUUUAUAGAUGAUGCCAUCAAGAAUGAAUAGCUUUGACGAUUCUUAUUGAGCUACAUCAAAUUUUCCAUGACUGGAUAUUAGAAGCACAAAGGUGCUUGGAAGAAAGCUAUUGCAUCAAACAGUUCAAUCAGGAUCAAAAUCUAGGAGAGCUGGAGCUGCGAAACUUUGGCCGUCUUUGGAAGAUCUUGAGCAAAAAGUUUACUGUUCUCUGUGUUCAUUGGCCUCAUCUGCUCACUUAAGCAUGGAUGUUAUCAGGAUCCACUACAAGUUCUCCAAAUGGUCACUUGUGGUUAGUUGGAUAUUACAAACUGUACUCGAGAAGAGAGAUUAAAAGAGAAGCAUGCAGUUAUGGAGAUGAAAUAUCAAUUUUGAUCACUCCAGAAAGCCGAAAUGUGGUGCUAAAGAAAAAGAAAAGAAUUCUUUGGAACGAAUGAUUAUGGUACAGAACCAUGCCUGCAGAGGACCCUGCACUUCAGCACCCUAUCUUGAACAUAGAAUCCCGGCAUCACCAUGAUCUUAACUCGGGUAGCGCCUUGCGGUCUGUGCCUGUCCAAGGGAAUAUCCUCCAUGUAGAGGGGAUUGAAUUCACGAUCUUCCUCGACACGCAAGAUCGUCAAGGGUGGGCUGAAGGAAAAGGCCAGUAAAUGGAGCAACCAAAUACACUUGGCAGCGAUAAAGAAGCAUUGCAGAAGCUGCUCAGGCCAUGGCGCUGACCAAUCAAGCAUGGAAACAAUGCAGCUCAUUUUUUGAUCGCAAAACCUGCUGAAAUCCUCACUGUAGUACUUGGUCCCUUUCUGCAACACCUCGUUCCAGCUCAAAUUCCGAAGCCCAACAAAAGAUGAGAAGUUCUCCCUGCACUCUUCCCGGGGAUCCAGAAAUUUUGGACAACCAUUCUUAUGGAACACACAGUUCUCGAAAUCCUGAUAUAGAGUUUGGUUUACGAAUGCUUCCAAAUGAUAGAUAACUCCUUUUGAGUACUUACCAGUGAUCAGUGCCAUCUGAUGUGGCUGGAGAAGCAAAUUUAGUUUCUCUGGCAGAUCAUCAUCGGAUUCCUCAAUCUGGUGGAUGAGCAUCUUGCAGAACUGCUUGACUGAGAGCCUGGCUUCUGAAACUAUCUGCAAGAAACCCUCAACCAUUACCUCUUGGCUCACAGGCAUCGAAUUGUCUCUGUUGCUGCUCAUGGCCUUUGUUCUCUUUGACAAAUUAGAUCUGUCCGAAAUCUGGGAACUCUUUGGAUGCAUACCAUGUUUUAAGGCCUUCUUCAGCUCUGCACAAUAUGCUUCUAAACUGACUAGCUUCUGUUGCAGCUCUCCCAAUGAGGACCUCAUCUCUGAGACUUCUGCCAGUGCAGCAUCCCUGUUUUCAUUGGCCUCGAGGAGCUCCUUCUUCAGCGAUUCCAGUGAUAGAACCCCCCAUUCCUUCAAAAUUUGGGACAUGCCCUCAGAUUCCAUCAUUUUCGGUGACAUCUCCGGCUUGGAUUUCCUUUUUGAUUUUGGAAACAACCAUGAAAGACCUGACCCUCUGUGUUUUAUGUGUGUCUUUACAGAUUGCUCGGGAUCGUGUGAGACAUCUGUGCUCUUGGCAUUCUUGAGGUUCUUCCGAUCACCACCCACUUCCAUGUUUACAGUUUCUUGG